rnacentral:tRNA from 1 species
GCCGCCGUGGUGGAAUGGUAGACGCUGCGGACUUAAAAUCCGUUGUCCGCAAGGACGUGCCGGUUCGAGUCCGGCCGGCGGCA